rnacentral:tRNA from 1 species
GGGCUCGUGGCGCAGCUUGGAUAGCGCAAAAGGUUCCUAACCUUUAGGUCGUGGGUUCAAAUCCCACCGGGCCCG